rnacentral:lncRNA from 1 species
GUGAGACCUGUAGGUUUAGAGGGAGUGAGACCUGUAGGUUAGAGGGGUGAGACCUGAGGUUUAGAGGGAGUGAGACCUGUAGGUUUAGAGGGAGUGAGACCUGUAGGUUUAGAGGGAGUGAGACCGGUAGGUGUAGAGGAGUGAGACCUGUAGGUUUAGAGGGAGUGAGACCUGUAGGUUUAGAGGGAGUGAAGACCUGUAGGUUUAGAGAGGAGUGAGACCUGUAGGUUUAGAGGGAGUGAGACCUGUAGGUUUAGAGGAGUGAGACCUGCAGUUAGAGGGAGUGAGGAUGUAGUUUAGAGGGAGUGAGACCUGUAGGUUUAGAGGGAGUGAGACCUGUAGGUUUAAGAGGGAGUGAGAUCCUGUAGGUUUAGAGGGAGUGAGACCUGCAGGUUUAGAGGGAGUGAGACCUGCAGGUUUAGAGGGAGUGGACUGCAGGUUUAGAGAGUGAGACCUGCAGGUUUAGAGGUGAGACCUGUGUUUAAGGAGUGGAGACCGUGGUUUAGAGGGAGUGAGACCUGUAGGUUUAGAGGGAGUGAGACCUGUAGGUUUAGAGGGAGUGAGACCUGUAGGUUUAGAGGGAGUGAGACCUGCAGGUUUAGAGGGAGUGAGACCUGUAGGUUUAGAGGGAGUGAGACCUGAGGUUUAGAGGGGAGACCGCAGGGUUGAGAGAGAAUGAAUAAAGACGGCUCACAUUCUGCAUGUAUCAUGGUGAUCUUCAGGAGGGAAACCGAGGUUGACAGCUUUAACCUGCUUUACUAAACCCUGUCCCGGACUUUACACGGUCAGCUCCUGCUAUCCCCCAAACACCAUGUUAAUCUCCUCUCAGGCUGAAUACCCCUAAGUCCUCUCCCUCAAAUGGGUCAGAGACCUCAGAGAAAACACACAUUCCUCUUAAUAAGACAAGCACAUAUCCAUUCCCUUUAAGUGGUCCGGACAGGGACAACUGAUCCUAAAUCAGCACAGCUUCUACUACUGAGCUGGUUGUGUGAAUGCAUAUGGGCCCAGACCUUUAAGUGAUCCGGGACAGGGACAACUAUCCUAAAUCAGCACAGCUCUACUACUGAGCUGUUGUGAAUACAUAUCAGCCCAGAAACCAAUGCCACCUUUUCUGUCAAUGACCGACAUGGUCAUUUAAGUGAGGUACUAAGUGAGUCUGAAGACAUUUAAGUGAGUCUGUGAAGACAUUUAAGUGAGGUCUGUGAAGACAGUUAAGUGAGGUCUGUGAAGACAUUUAAGUGAGGUCUGUGAAGACAUAGGUAAGUGAGGUCGGUGAAGACAUUUAAGUGAGGUCAGAAGACAUUUAAGUGAGGUCUGUGAAGACAUUUAAGUGAGGUCGGUGAAGACAUUUAAGUGAGGUCGAAGACAUUUAAGUGAGGCUCUGGAAGACAUUUAAGUGAGUCUUGAAGACAUUUAAGUGAGGUCUGUGAAGACAUUUAAGUGAGGUCCUGUGAAGACAUUAAGUGAGGUCAGAAGACAUUAAUGAGGUCGUGAAGACAUUUAAGUGAGUCUGUGAAGACAUUAAGUGAGGUCAGAAGACAUUUAAGUGAGGUCUGUGAACAUUUAAGUGAGGUCGUGUGAAGACAUUUAAGUGAGGUCUUGAAGACAUUUAAGUGAGUCAGAAGACAUUUAAGUGAGAUCUGUGAAGACAUUUAGUGGAAAAAAGAAUGAGGUCAGAAGACAUUUAAGUGAGGUCAGAAGACAUUUUAAGUGAGGUCAGAAGACAUUUAAGUGAGGUCAGAAGACAUUUAGUGAGUCUGUAACUGUGAAGAGUCGAAGACAUUUAAGUGAGGUCAGAAGACAUUUAAGUGAGGUCAGAAGACAUUUAGUGAGGUCAGAAGACAUUAAGUGAAUCUGUGGAACAUUAAGUAGGUCAGAAGACAUUAAGUGAGGUCUGUGAAGACAUUUAGUGAGGUCUGUGAACAUUUAAGUGAGGUCUGUGAAGACAUUAGUGAGAUCAAAGACAUUUAAGUGAGGUCAGAAGACAUUUAAGUGAGGUCAGAAGACAUUAAGUGAGGUCAGAAACAUUUAAGUGAGUCGUCAGAAUGUACUGUGAAGACAUUUAAUGAUAGACGAAUUAAGUGAGUCUGUGAAGACAUUUAAGUGAGGUCUGUGAAGACAUUUAAGUGAGGUCAGAAGACAUUUGAGUGGUCGGAAGAAUUGUGAGGUCAGAAGACAUUUAAGUGAGGUCUGAACACAUGGGUACUGUGUGUGUGUUGUGGUCUGUUUUCUCUGCUAGGUGCUUUGUCCCAGUGAAUGAAUGUAAAUCAUAAAGACAUCUACAGUGUUCAGUAUCACAUGGACAGGGGUCAUGUACCGUAAGCCUCUUCUCUCUCGUCAUCUCUCUCCCUCUCUCUUAUAGUAGGAGCUGGCUGGAAGGU